UGCCGACCCUCACGCCGCGGCUAGUGAGGGGCCGCCGGCGGCGACGGGUCCCGGGCGGGUCGCUGUGGCCGGCAUGGACGCGGCGGAGGUGGAGUUUCUGGCCGAGAAGGAGCUGGUCACCGUAAUCCCCAACUUCAGCCUAGACAAGAUCUACCUCAUCGGGGGGGACCUGGGGCCUUUCCAGCCGGGCUUACCGGCGCGAGUGCCGCUGUGGCUGGCCAUCAACCUGAAGCAGAGGCAGAAGUGUCGGCUGCUGCCGCCCGAGUGGAUGGACGUGGAGAAGUUGGAGAAGAUCAGGGAUCAUGAACGACAGGAAGAAACCUUCACCCCCAUGCCCAGCCCUUACUACAUGGAACUUACCAAACUCCUGCUGAAUCACGCUUCGGACAAUAUCCCCAAAGCAGAUGAAAUCCGGACCCUGGUGAAGGACGUGUGGGACACUCGCAUGGCCAAGUUGCGGGUGUCCGCCGACAGCUUCGUGAGGCAGCAGGAGGCACAUGCCAAGCUGGACAACCUGACCUUGAUGGAGAUCAACACGAGCGGGGCUUUCCUCACACGAGCGCUCGAUCACAUGUACAAACUCCGCACGAACCUGCAGCCUGCUCAGGGCGCGCCGUCCCAGGACUUCUAGAGAAGGGCCCGGCCCGUGGCGAAGGCUGGGCGCUUGCGCCUGUGCGCCUGCCGGCCGGAGGCUUCCAGGCGCCAUGUGAGCGCGAGACCCGACAGAGCUUCCAGAGCAGCCCCCACCUGGCCAAGGGGCGGGCACCGAACCACAGCCACGAAGUUACUACCAAAUGCAGGCUGGGAGAACGCCCCCGAAGGCCACUGCACCGCUGACCAGCAGAGAUAAAAGGCCACCGUAUCAAGAAGCCACAGGCCCUUAAGUAAACGGUCAAAGAGCGAAAGCCGUCAGCAGAGUAAGUACGUCCUGCACCACAGCCGAGCACGGGGUGGUUUUCUAGCUCGGAACACGCGGGCCCGUCGAGGUCAGGUUCACACUGCUGUGAGGGCAAGCGUGCGGCCAGCUGCUGUGGGGACCACGGAGGUGGGGAGAGGGCAGCUGGGGGCC